CCUACGGGAGACAGCAGUGAGGAAUAUUGGUCAAUGGACGAGAGUCUGAACCAGCCAAGUAGCGUGAAGGAUGACUGCCCUAUGGGUUGUAAACUUCUUUUAUAUGGGAAUAAAAUGUUCCACGUGUGGGAUUUUGUAUGUACCAUAUGAAUAAGGAUCGGCUAACUCCGUGCCAGCAGCCGCGGUAAUACGGAGGAUCCGAGCGUUGUCCGGAUUUAUUGGGUUUAAAGGGAGCGUAGGUGGAUUGUUAAGUCAGUUGUGAAAGUUUGCGGUUCAACCGUAAAAGUGCAGUUGAAACUGGCAGUCUUGAGUGCAGUAGAGGUGGGCGGAAUUCGUGGUGUAGCGGUGAAAUGCUUAGAUAUCGCGAAGAACUCCGAUUGCGAAGGCAGUUCACUGGACUGCAACUGACACUGAGGCUCGAAAGUGUGGGUAUCGAACAGGAUUAGAUACCCCAGUAGUC
rnacentral:rRNA from 1 species